rfam:Dipodomys ordii contig_52583, whole genome shotgun sequence.
UGGAAUGUGGCUUAGUGGUAGAGUGUUUGUCUAGUAUGCAAGAAGCCCUGGGUUCGAUUCCUCAGUACCAC